CACUUCAUGGAGAAGACAUAUUCUUAUGACAUAUUCAAGUAGAAAGUUACUGUUUCCUUUCCUAAUAGUAAAAGACUUCAGACCACACAGAUUCAACUCUACAGAACUAACUUGGAUCAUACAAGGCAUAAACAGAUGA
rnacentral:lncRNA from 1 species